AGCAGUCGCCACGGGAAUACAGAGGGUGCGAGCGUUAAUCGGAUUUACUGGGCGUAAAGCGUGCGUAGGCGGCUUUUUAAGUCGGAUGUGAAAUCCCUGAGCUUAACUUAGGAAUUGCAUUCGAUACUGGGAAGCUAGAGUAUGGGAGAGGAUGGUAGAAUUCCAGGUGUAGCGGUGAAAUGCGUAGAGAUCUGGAGGAAUACCGAUGGCGAAGGCAGCCAUCUGGCCUAAUACUGACGCUGAGGUACGAAAGCAUGGGGAGCAAACAGGAUUAGAUACCCGUGUAGUCCCUGUCUCUUAUAA
rnacentral:rRNA from 1 species